rnacentral:tRNA from 1 species
GGCUCUGUGGCGCAAUGGAUAGCGCGUUGGACUUCUAGCUGAGCACUGGGGAAGUGAUUCAAAGGUUGUGGGUUCGAGUCCCACCAGAGUCG